GACCUGCGGAAGGAUCAUUACCGAACUGUCGACACGAGUUGUUGCUGGUCCUCAAACGGGGGCAUGUGCACACUCUGUUUACACAUCCACUCACACCUGUGCACCCACUGUAGUUCUGUGGCCUGGGGGGCUCCGUCCUCUUGCUGCGGUUCUAUGUCUUUACACACACACUGUAAUAAAGUUUCAUGGAAUGCAUGACGCGUCUAACGCAAUACAAUACAACUUUCAGCAACGGAUCUCUUGGCUCUCGCAUCGAUGAAGAACGCAGCGAAAUGCGAUAAGUAAUGUGAAUUGCAGAAUUCAGUGAAUCAUCGAAUCUUUGAACGCACCUUGCGCCCUUUGGCUAUUCCAGAGGGCAUGCCUGUUUGAGUAUCAUGAACACCUCAACUCUCACGGUUUUUCCGUGAUGAGCUUGGACUUUGGGGGUCUUGCUGGCCUGCGGUCGGCUCCUCUCGAAUGAAUCAGCUUGCCAGUGUCUGGUGGCAUCACAGGUGUGAUAACUAUCUACGCUUGUGGUUUUCCACCAGGUAACCUUCAGUGAUGGAGGUUCGCUGGGGCUAAUAAACGUCUCUCCUCAGCGAGGACAGCUUCUUGAACGUUUGAUCUCAAAUCAGGUAGGGCUACCCGCUGAACUUAAGCAUAUCAAUAAGCGGGA
rnacentral:rRNA from 1 species